AUAGGCUUUGUGGUUGGCUCCUUCUCCCUCAGGAAACUGCGGCCAACCGUUAGUACCAGCCCGCUGCAGCAGCUCUGGGAAUGGUGGCUGAGGGCUCCCCACCAUUCAGGUCUGGUAACUCCUCUCUGCUUCUGAACUGUCUCUUCCUUCCCUUGCCCCUCAGUUCAUUUUUUAAGCUUGCCUUUGAUGCUCAGGGCUCCUAGCUUGUCAUAAAUAUACUAGUUUUACUUGUGUUUUUGGGUCUUUGCUGUAAAGAGGGCUCUGCAGAAGUGUGUGUCUAUUCUGCCAUCUUGGCUCCACCUCUGCUGUGUGCAGCACUUUUAUAUGUUGCUUUGGAAUCUGAUAUAUCAGGCUGCUCUAACUUCCGUUGCCCAAGUCCAACCAGGAGCAAAGCAAAGAUUCCAGUGAACAAAUGAUACAUAAAGAGGCAACAUUCAGUAAUUUCAUCAGUCUCUCGUCUACACUGAAAUGGCUGGGAGACAACUCACAAGCCAGAGGAAAGAGAAGAGGAAUGCUUCCAGCAGUGUCAUCCUGUCUGCCAGGUGGGCUCCCCAAGGAGAAGGUAAGGAAGAACAGCCCAUUAGCUAGAGGUCUUAGGUCAGUGGCAGGCAGGCAGCGCAGGUUCUGACUUCAGGUAAGAAGUGGUGGCUCAGGUGGUUUCCUGGGACCCUUCAUGAUCUGCUAUGCAGUUUGGGGGUUUCCUAAGCUUAUGAAUGCUGUGUAGAAGAAAUCCCUGGUAUGAAUGUGUGUGUCUGGGGAUAGGGAAGCAUUCCUUUUCUCUUUCCACUGGGCUUGUGAGUUAUUGUUUAAAGGACGCUGAGUCUUUGAGGUGCUAUAAAACUUUUGGAAGUGGACAGUGGUGAUGGUAACACAACAUUGUAACUGUAAUUAAUGUCACCAAAUUGUACAUUUAAAAAUAGUUAAAAUGGCAAGCCUUUUAUUAUAUGUAUUUUACCACAAUAACACUAAGAAAAACAUACAAACACGGACUUCUUCCCUCUCAUCACUUUAACUCUCUAAGCUUUAAUAUAUUUAUCUCUAAAAUGGGUUAAUAAUACAUACAUGGAUGUUGUAAGAAUUACAUGUGAAAAAAUAUGUGUAGUACUUCUAGAGUUCUUGAUACACAAUGAAUGAUUUCCCCCUCAGCCUGAGUCAUCCACAGCUAGUAGAAGUCUCUGACGCUGUUAGGAUGAAUGGCGCCAGAACUCAACAUCAGAAAUGAACUUCCUUCAUUAGAAAGUUGUGUCAAGUGACGAUCUGGAAAGAUCACGGUUAGGAAUGCUUCCUACUAAAAGUGGGGCUGAUGUUCCAAGAUGGCUUCCAGCAAAGCUCCGGAAGUGCUGCUGAGAAGAGAAGGCUGAGGCUGGGAACACAGCUGCUAGUCAGACUGAAAUGACUGGGAGGCAACUCACAAGCCCAGAGGGAAGAGAAGAUGAAUGUUUCCAGCAGUGGCAUCCUGUCUGCCAGGCGAGGAGAAGAAAGAGCACCCUGUUAGCUGGAGAUCUCAGAUACCUUAUUAUUGCUCUGUGCUGCUCUUUGGAGUAUUACAGGAGACAGCCAUGUAACAAAGCCUUCGGGAACAAGAAAGAAUGAAGAACUCAAGAUACAAGGAAACGAUUAGUCCAAGGGACUAAUGGACCACAUCUACCAUGGCCUCCACGAGACCGAGUCCAGUACAACCAGAUGGUGCCCAGCUACCACCACCGACUGCUCUGACAGAGAUCAGAAUAGAGGGUCCCAGACAAAGCUGGAGAAAAAUGUAGAACAAAAUUCUAACUCAAAAAGAAAGAUCAGACUUGCUGGCCUGACAGAGACUGGAGAAACCCUGAGAGUAUGGCCCCUGGACACACUUUCAGUUUAGUAAUUAGGGCAUUCCUGAGGUUCAACCUUCAGCCAAAGAUUGAACAGGCCCAUGGAACAAAAUAAGACUAAAAGGGCACACCAGCCCUGGAGCAGGGACUGGAAGGCAGGAGGGAAUAGGAAAGCUGGUAAUAGGGAACCCACGGUUGAGAAGGGAGAGUGUUGACAUGUUGUGGGGUUGUUAACCGAUGUUAUAGAACAAUGUGUGCACUAACUCUUUGAUGAGAAACUAGUCUGUUCCGUAAACCUUCAUCUAAAGUACAAUUAAAAAAAAUGUAUUAGUGGUUACCAGGGGAUUGGGGUAGGGCAGAAAGGCAGUUAUUGCUUAAAGGGUAUUGAGUUUCUGUUUGAGGUGAUAUAAAACUUUUAGAAAUGGAUAGCGGUGAUGUGGCACAACAUGGUGAAUGUAAUUCAUGUCACCGAUGUAUAUACUUUAUUUAAAAAUGGUAGAAAUUGCAAAGUUUUUGUUAUAUAUUUUUUACCACAACAAAAUUAAAAAAAUAAAAUAAAAACAUAUACUUCUUGUCUCUGAUCACUUUAACUCUCUAAGCUUUAAUUUCUUUAUCCGUAAAGUGGGAGGAAACCCUGGUGGUGCAGUGGUUAAGUGUUCGGCUGCUAACCAAAUGUCAACAGUUUGAAUCCACCAGGUGCUCCUUGGAAACCCUAUGGGGGCAGUUUUACUCUAUCCUAUACAGUCGCUAUGAGUCUGAAUUGACUUGAUGGGAAUGGGUUUGGUUUUUGGUUUUGUAAAAUGAGCAAAUAAUACUUACAUAUGUGGAUGUUGUAAGAAUUAUAUAUGAAAAUAUGUAUGUCAUAUAUCUAGGGUCUUGGUACACCAUUAUCCCCUCCUUCAACCUGAGUCAUUCACAGUCAGUGGAAGUCUGAGGUGGUGCCAGGAGGAUGAAUGGGACCUGAACCUAGCUAUGACCCCAGACACCACCUUACUAUAUUAGGAAGACAUGUUAACUGAAGAUCUGGGAUGAUCAUGAUCAGGAAUGUUUUCUGCCUAAAAUGGGGCUGUCUGUGUGAGCGUAACACAAGAUGGCUUCCUGGAAAGCUUCAGAAGUGCUUCUGAGAAGGCAAGGCUGAGGCUGGGAGCCCGGCUGGGAAUUACUUGAGUUUGUCCCUGUUGGGAAAGAUGUGGGAGGGCAGAGACCCAAGAGAGGUUGUGGUGUAAGACCUUCCAGCACCUUUAGUGUUGUGGGUCCCAAGGCAGCACAGUAGUAAAUGGCCUUAUCCUCUUUCUCUGUGAAGUUUAUGGUCAAGAUGGAAGAAGACAUUUGAAUAUCUUUUUUUGCCACCAAUUUGUUCUUCUUCUCACCUAAGGGUGGGCUUUUGUUUGAGAGGAUAUAUGUCAGAAGUUCUAUAAUUUAACUUGGUUUCUGUCAUACCAAUAAAUAACUUUAUUUAUGAAGUUUACA